rnacentral:lncRNA from 1 species
AUCUAAGAAGAAUAAUGAGGAGGUAGAAUAUGUGGGUACACGUGAACCAGAACCAGUACAACCAGAAGCUCAAGUAGAAGAUGGGCUGGAGCAUUUGGUAGAAACAGAAGAUCAAGUACCAGACGAGGCAGGUAAUUUGGAAGAACCAGAAGCUCAAUUACAAGAUGGCCCAGAGAUGAAUGAAGAAACAGAGCUGAAUGAAGAAGUUCCUGAUAAGGAGUUGAAUGAAGAAGAGCCUGACAAAGCUCUGAAUGAUGAAGAGCCUGA